rnacentral:misc_RNA from 1 species
AACUUUCAACAAUGGAUCUCUUGGUUCCGGCAUCGAUGAAGAACGCAGCGAAAUGCGAUAAGUAAUGCGAAUUGCAGAAUUCCGUGAGUCAUCGAAUCUUUGAACGCACAUUGCGCCCCCCGGCUGCCCGGGGGGCAUGCCUGUCCGAGCGUCAUUGCCAUCCCCUCAAGCUCCGCUUGGCUGGUUGGGCCGACGUCCACCCGUGGCUUUGUGCCAAGGGGGGACGGACCCGAAAGGCAGUGGCGGCUCCCGGAGGGUGGUCCCUUGGGGCGGUGAUACAUGGGUUGUCAUCUUCCACCGCUCUGUUGGCCACGCUCCGGGGGUCUGUCGAACGAUUGGUCUUCCCCUUUAGGUUGACCUCGGAUCAGGUAGGGAUACCCGCUGAACUUAAGCAUAUCAAUAAGCGGAGGCU